UACGUAGGGGGCUAGCGUUGCUCGGAAUCACUGGGCGUAAAGCGCACGUAGGCGGAUUGCUAAGUCAGGGGUGAAAUCCUGGAGCUCAACUCCAGAACUGCCUUUGAUACUGGCGAUCUUGAGUCCGGGAGAGGUGAGUGGAACUGCGAGUGUAGAGGUGAAAUUCGUAGAUAUUCGCAAGAACACCAGUGGCGAAGGCGGCUCACUGGCGCGGUACUGACGCUGAGGCGCGAAAGCUAGGGGAGCAAACGGG
rnacentral:rRNA from 1 species